CAGUCGCCGCGGGAAUACAGAGGGUGCGAGCGUUAAUCGGAUUUACUGGGCGUAAAGCGUGCGUAGGCGGCUUCUUAAGUCGGAUGUGAAAUCCCUGAGCUUAACUUAGGAAUUGCAUUCGAUACUGGGAAGCUAGAGUAUGGGAGAGGAUGGUAGAAUUCCAGGUGUAGCGGUGAAAUGCGUAGAGAUCUGGAGGAAUACCGAUGGCGAAGGCAGCCAUCUGGCCUAAUACUGACGCUGAGGUACGAAAGCAUGGGUAGCAAACAGGAUUAGAUACCCCUGUAGUCCCUGUCUCUUAUAC
rnacentral:rRNA from 1 species